GUUUUUUACGGAGGGGUAGACUUUUUAACGACCAGCGAGCCGCAACAGAGUAAAUUAGGUUGAAAAAAGCUACGAAAAAUGUUUUCGAAGAUUUGAUAAUUGUGGCAGAGGAAGAAAAUGAAAUUGAGAUGAAGGAAGAGGUGAAGGAUGAAGCUGCAGAUGUAAGCAUACAUUGAUGUUUCCUUCUUCUUUCUUUUGUUUAGGUCUGUGUUCGAUUGUAUUGUGAAGAAUUACCGACUUAUAUUGCCUUCAUGUCUAUUUCUGGUUGAUGUGUUUUGAUGUUGCUUUGUUAAAGAAAUAAUGCAUUUGUGAUUCAUAAAUAUUGGUUUUGAUUCU